rnacentral:rRNA from 1 species
AUUGAACGCUGGCGGCAGGCCUAACACAUGCAAGUCGAGCGGUAGCACAGAGAGCUUGCUCUCGGGUGACGAGCGGCGGACGGGUGAGUAAUGUCUGGGAAACUGCCUGAUGGAGGGGGAUAACUACUGGAAACGGUAGCUAAUACCGCAUAACGUCGCAAGACCAAAGAGGGGGACCUUCGGGCCUCUUGCCAUCGGAUGUGCCCAGAUGGGAUUAGCUAGUAGGUGGGGUAACGGCUCACCUAGGCGACGAUCCCUAGCUGGUCUGAGAGGAUGACCAGCCACACUGGAACUGAGACACGGUCCAGACUCCUACGGGAGGCAGCAGUGGGGAAUAUUGCACAAUGGGCGCAAGCCUGAUGCAGCCAUGCCGCGUGUGUGAAGAAGGCCUUCGGGUUGUAAAGCACUUUCAGCGGGGAGGAAGGCGAUAAGGUUAAUAACCUUGUCGAUUGACGUUACCCGCAGAAGAAGCACCGGCUAACUCCGUGCCAGCAGCCGCGGUAAUACGGAGGGUGCAAGCGUUAAUCGGAAUUACUGGGCGUAAAGCGCACGCAGGCGGUCUGUCAAGUCGGAUGUGAAAUCCCCGGGCUCAACCUGGGAACUGCAUUCGAAACUGGCAGGCUAGAGUCUUGUAGAGGGGGGUAGAAUUCCAGGUGUAGCGGUGAAAUGCGUAGAGAUCUGGAGGAAUACCGGUGGCGAAGGCGGCCCCCUGGACAAAGACUGACGCUCAGGUGCGAAAAGCGUGGGGAGCAAACAGGAUUAGAUACCCUGGUAGUCCACGCCGUAAACGAUGUCGAUUUGGAGGUUGUGCCCUUGAGGCGUGGCUUCCGGAGCUAACGCGUUAAAUCGACCGCCCUGGGGAGUACGGCCGCAAGGUUAAAACUCAAAUGAAUUGACGGGGGCCCGCACAAGCGGUGGAGCAUGUGGUUUAAUUCGAUGCAACGCGAAGAACCUUACCUGGUCUUGACAUCCACAGAACUUUCCAGAGAUGGAUUGGUGCCUUCGGGAACUGUGAGACAGGUGCUGCAUGGCUGUCGUCAGCUCGUGUUGUGAAAUGUUGGGUUAAGUCCCGCAACGAGCGCAACCCUUAUCCUUUGUUGCCAGCGGUUAGGCCGGGAACUCAAAGGAGACUGCCAGUGAUAAACUGGAGGAAGGUGGGGAUGACGUCAAGUCAUCAUGGCCCUUACGACCAGGGCUACACACGUGCUACAAUGGCAUAUACAAAGAGAAGCGACCUCGCGAGAGCAAGCGGACCUCAUAAAGUAUGUCGUAGUCCGGAUUGGAGUCUGCAACUCGACUCCAUGAAGUCGGAAUCGCUAGUAAUCGUAGAUCAGAAUGCUACGGUGAAUACGUUCCCGGGCCUUGUACACACCGCCCGUCACACCAUGGGAGUGGGUUGCAAAAGAAGUAGGUAGCUUAACCUUCGGGAGGGCGCUUACCACUUUGUGAUUCAUGACUGGGGUGA